CAGGAGAAAACAAAACAAGAGCCUGUUCAUGUCACAUUUAGCUACAUUAAUAUAAUUUCAGUAUCCAGAUGCUGCUGACUAGCAGAGUCUAUAUGGCCUAAGUCUAUUGUUGCCAAGAUAUCUGAGAAAAUAUUGUGUUACGCAGAAGUGACAGUGGGGCCUGUAGAGCAGGCGCCCAGGAGGAAUACACAGCGUGAGUUAUUCAAUAAUCGUCUAGCAGACCCGAGACACAGAUUGGACUGACUGGGGAAUGUGUCUUAGAUGACAGCAAAGACGGUGAACAAUUCCAGCAGAAGAUUUACUUCCACUCUAAUUGAAUUAUACCCUAGAUGAUCAAACUGUAGGAAAUGAAUCCCAUAGUUAAAUUAGAGUCAAACAUCCCUACUUUUCUGAUACAAGUACUAAUUUUUAAAAAAAUUUUGCCAGAGGCAUGUGCACUCACCAGAGAGAAACAGAGAGAGGCAGAGAUGGAGAAGGAGAAAUCGCCCCACAACGAGCGUGCUCACACUGAGGCCCCCUCUCCUUGUUUUCUCCAUCAUAUCAGAAAUUGGGGCAUGCACACGUGUCUGGUGUGUUUUUCAAGCCUCUUGGGCCAGCAUUUAAACUGCCUGGUUGGCCGUGUGGGACCCUUUAACAACUAGGCUAUGGGCCAGCCCAGGAAUACUAAUUUUUACAGUGCAAAUUAAACCCCAACUGUU